GACGAACGCUGGCGGCGUGCUUAACACAUGCAAGUCGAACGGAAAGGCCCUGCUUUUGUGGGGUGCUCGAGUGGCGAACGGGUGAGUCACACGUGAGUAACCUGCCCUUGACUUUGGGAUAACUUCAGGAAACUGGGGCUAAUACCGGAUAGGAGCUCCUGCUGCAUGGUGGGGGUUGGAAAGUUUCGGCGGUUGGGGAUGGACUCGCGGCUUAUCAGCUUGUUGGUGGGGUAGUGGCUUACCAAGGCUUUGACGGGUAGCCGGCCUGAGAGGGUGACCGGCCACAUUGGGACUGAGAUACAGCCCAGACUCCUACGGGAGGCAGCAGUGGGGAAUAUUGCACAAUGGGCGGAAGCCUGAUGCAGCAACGCCGCGUGCGGGAUGACGGCCUUCGGGUUGUAAACCGCUUUCGCCUGUGACGAAGCGUGAGUGACGGUAAUGGGUAAAGAAGCACCGGCUAACUACGUG
rnacentral:rRNA from 1 species